rnacentral:lncRNA from 1 species
UGUUUGGUUGGUUGUAGGAGGAUUAGGACCACACAUUUACACUUUCCCUCUCUCUCUCUCUCCCUCUCUCCCGUUGACCCUCUCUUUCUCUCUCUUCCCUCUCGGUUCUUCUCCAUUUUCGUACUGUACGUACGUACGAACGAAACUCAACCAACCUAUCUCUUCACGGAUCAUGGUUGUGAAGACCAUUUUCAAGUUCCUUACGAGCCCAUGAACCCAGUGAUACUAUUAUUUGGACGUGAAACCUUGAAAAACCCGAGAAACCAUAACCUCCAAUUUGAGGUACUGUUCAUGCACACGUAAAUGUGUAGUUUUCUGAGAGUUUUGAAGUUAUAGGGAGCUUUAGAUCGUCUUCACGAGGCUUGGAGAAGAAAAAUGAAGUGAUUUGGACGUCGGGAAGCUCAGGAAUAGGGAGUUGCAGGUUUAGUCGGAACAUCGAAGGAUUUUUCGACGAGUUCCAUCGGUUUUAGGACGAGAUAUGAAGGUUUUCGUGAUUUUCCAGUUUUCGGUGAAUGGCGACGGCGACCGGCAAGGCUAACCGGAGAGGAAGAUAGAAUAUUCCUUCAAAGUUGACGGAAUAUUUUGACGCCGUAAGGUAGAAUUAACAGUUUCUGUUACUUUUUAACGGAAUAUUCCUAACGGGGUUAAGGGAUUCCAAUAGGGUCCCUGCGUGUGGCCGCGUGUGUUGCCGUGCCCUUGUCGGAGCGUGGUGGCAUGUGGGACGUCGGAAAAAUUUUCUAAAAAUAUGGGGAUGUUGAGGUUGUGUAGAUCACAUUGGUAUAUUCAAACAUCCCAUUUGAGCAAUGUAUGAGAAGUUAUUAGCUAGUAUUCGUUAUGUGCUUUAAAUUAACGUUUUUAUAGUUGUUUCGCAUAUAGGGGAGACUUAUCCCGAGGACGAGCGCGGUCAAGGGCGACUCGGGGGCUACGACUCUUUGACAUACCAGUGAGUGGGCUUUUGGUUUUCAGUAUAUACUUAUAUACUUGAUAUUUUCCCAGAAAAUGCGUUUAAAUGAAAGUAUGCCUUGAAAUGCCAUGCAUAUAAAUUUAUGUUCAAUAUAUGAAUUAGUAUAUGAUGCAUACUAUAUAAUUGUGGUGAUGUGGACACUCAGGUAAGUCCAAGUGAGUUUAUGAAUUGUAAAUGUGAAUAAUGAUUAUGAUUAAUUGAGAAGUAUAGAGCUCAUAAACCUGCACCUCGAUGUUCGUGAUUAGUCAGAGAUAUGACACAUGCUUGUAUAUAAUGUCACCUCCUGCACCCUAUGCUCACAUUGGAUCCAAUACAGACCAUUAUAGGUGAUUCCAACUCGUAGAUGACUAGCGAUUUAUCGCACAGCUAUCAUGAGAGCGUAGUAUUGAGCAUAAUUAUAUUACACCCAGUCUUGUUGUACAGACCUUUUCAGUGGUUCCAACUUGUGUGCAGUGUAGUGCCGUAUAGGUCAUUUGCAGUGACUCUGGUUAGAUUGACUAAUGAGCUAUGAAUGCAACCGUACAGACUUCUGCAGGGAUUCCGGCUAAUGUGUUAUUUUCCAUGAAUUUACUUUCACAUGAGUUACUUAUCUUGUUUAUAUCUUGGCAUGACAUACUUAUGAUUAUGAAUAUGUGUAGCAUGAUUUGAAUUGAUAUAUAUAGAUAUAUGUAUACGUUUAUAUUCUAUUUCUAGGAAAAAGUAUACAUGUUUUACGGCGAGGGGUUAGAGCACUUGAAAGUUAAAUGUGUUCUUAAAACCCUUGUUUUUGCCCACUCACGUUUUCUGUUUUGCGCCCCUCCAGGUUUUAGGUAGAAUUGCUGUUGGUGGCAUUGAGGAUCUCGAUGGUUCUGAUAGAAUAAAAUAUUCGUAGGAUAUCUUCUGGUACUAUAUAACUAGUACUUGUCCUACUGGACUGCACCUAGAUUUUCUAUGCUCUGAUUAGGAGUAUUUACUCUUGUAUCUCACUCCUAGCACUUUCCUGCUUAUUAGUGCACAUUAGUACCUUUCGGUUUUUAUUUAUUCGUAU